GGCAGAUUCCUGUGAGCCACUUUCCUGUGCCUCCGUUUGAAGCCUACUCUGAGAAGAGCAGAAGCAGGUUCAGGAGAAUCCUUCCAGAAUCCUUCCAGUGUCUCUGAAACUGUAGAGACUGAAGAAGAGUGCUCAAGUGCACAACUCUGCUUUCACACAGAAAUAUGGAUACUCUGAAUCUGCUGUUUCAACGGGAGGUCCCAUCUGUAUUAUUUGUCUACAAAGAACCACUUGCCCUCAAGACCAAUGAGAAGGUCCACACUGAUUUACUGGAGGGCUCCGCAGGGCAGGCUGCCGAAGGUGAGUGGGAAAUGAAGACAAAUGAGCUGUUUUCUUGGACAGUAGGUAGGAAGAAAACCUAAAAAUAAAGAGGAGAUUUGUUUUCUGCUGGCUUUUUACCCUGGGAAUAAUGCACUGAUUAAGAUGCUGAUUUCUUCCAUUUGCUGGAGAUCUUGCUGAAAGACCAGGGAUGAGCACAGCAGGGGGUCUUUCAACCCCCUAACCAUGAUUAAGCAGCAGCAGCAGCAGCAAGGAAAGAAAAACAAUGCAAUGGGAAUUUAUUGUUAGAAUCUUAGGACAUAUUUCAGCCCGUACAAGCAGGGCUGUCUCUAGGAUAAAUAGCGCCCUUGGUGCUCCUUUCCCUUAGUUUAUCCAUGCUGACAAGUUGUGUGGCUUGUGCAGGAUUGCAAAAGUUUGUUGUGUAACAGGCCCUACUGCUGUUCCUAGGCUUUCCCAGCAAGGGCCAUGAAAGGGCCCAGAACUGCCUCUCACUCAGCCAUUCCUUGCUUUGUUGCUAGUCCUCUCCUGCUCCAGUUCGGGGAUCCCACUGAGGUCUCCCAGGCCUUCUGCAGCUUUUCCAGCCUAUUUCCUUCUCUCCAGGUCUUUUGCUCCAUCCUUUUCCUAACUCCCAGACAUUGCUCUCAGUUACUACUACUAAUUGUACAACUGUGAAAAUUUAUAUACAGAGAGUCCCCAACUUACAAACAGGUUGUGUUCCAAAAGUACAUUUGUAAGUUGGAUGUUGAUAACUUUUUUACCCAAGCCUUCUCAGGUUUUUAAAAUACUGUUUGUUAAUUUUAUGGUUUUUAAAUUUUUUGUAUUGUUUUAACUUUUAUAUGUGUUUAAAGUGUUGUUAGCUGCCUAGAGAUGUAAGUUUGGGCGGGGUGUAAAUUUAAUAAAUAAAUAAAUAAAUAAAUAAAAAUAAACUAGGAACGCAUAUAGUUCCUAUGUGGGAUGAUUUGUCUGUAUGUGUGGGUUGGUGUUUGUAAGUUGAGGACUUCAAUAAUUUAAUAUGAUAGGGAGCUUUGUUUGUAAGUAUGAGUCAUUCAUAAGUCAGGUGCUUGUCAGUAGGGGAGUGGCUGUACCUCCUUUCAACAAAAGUGCUCAGAGUGGUCACAGACACCCAAAAGAGCAAACAAACAAGAAAGAUGGCCCCUUGUCCCAAAAGGACUCACUAAAAGGAAAUAGACACCAACAACAGCCACUGGAGGGAUGAUG